rnacentral:rRNA from 1 species
UAUUGCACAAUGGACGGAAGUCUGAUGCAGCGACGCCGCGUGGAUGACGAAGGCCUUCGGGUUGUAAAAUCCUUUUCAGGGGGACGAGAACGGACGGUACCCUUGGAAUAAGCGUCGGCUAACUACGUGCCAGCAGCCGCGGUAAGACGUAGGACGCAAGCGUUAUCCGGAUUUACUGGGCGUAAAGCGUCUGUAGGCGGUUGAGUAAGUUGGGCGUGAAAGCUCCGGGCUUAACCCGGAGAGGUCGUUCAAUACUGCUUAACUAGAGGACAUCAGAGGAGCAUGGAAUUUCCGGUGUAGCGGUAAAAUGCGCAGAUAUCGGAAAGAACACCAGUGGCGAAGGCGGUGCUCUGGGGUGGGCCUGACGCUGAGAGACGAAAGCUAGGGGAGCGAACAGGAUUAGAGACCCUGGUAGUCCUAGCCCUAAACGAUGGAUGCUAGAUGUAGGGCCGAGAAGGCUCUGUGUCGCAGUUAACGCGGUAAGCAUCCCGCCUGGGGAUUACGGCCGCAAGGCUAAAACUCAAACGAAUUGACGGGGCCCCGCACAAGCAGCGGAGCGUGUGGUUUAAUUCGAUGCUACACGAAGAACCUUACCUGGGUUUGACAUGUACGUGGUAGUGAAGCGAAAGCGGAGCGACCCUUCGGGGAGCGUACACAGGUGCUGCAUGGCUGUCGUCAGCUCGUGCCGUGAGGUGUCGGGUUAAGUCCCGUAACGAGCGCAACCCUUGCCCUUAGUUACAAGUGUCUAAGGGGACUGCCGGCGGUAAGCCGGAGGAAGGUGGGGAUGACGUCAAGUCAGCAUGGCCCUUAUAUCCAGGGCUACACACACGCUACAAUGGUCAGUACAAAGGGCAGCGAAGCCGCGAGGUGAAGCGAAUCCCACCAAAGCUGAUCUAAGUUCGGAUUGCAGGCUGCAACUCGCAUGCAUGAAGCUGGAGUUGCUAGUAACCGCGCGUCAGCCAUAGCGCGGUGAAUACGUUCCCGGGGCUUGUACACACCGCCCGUCACGUCAUGGAAGUCGGUAACGCCUGAAGCUGGUAGUCUGGCCUUAACAGGGGGACGCCAUCUAAGGCGGGGCUG